rnacentral:rRNA from 1 species
GAUGAACGCUAGCUACAGGCUUAACACAUGCAAGUCGAGGGGAAACGACAUUGGAAGCUUGCUUCCGAUGGGCGUCGACCGGCGCACGGGUGAGUAACGCGUAUCCAACCUGCCCACCACUUGGGGAUAACCUUGCGAAAGUAAGACUAAUACCCAAUGACGUCCAUAGAAGGCAUCUGAAGUGGAUUAAAGAUUUAUCGGUGAUGGAUGGGGAUGCGUCUGAUUAGCUUGUUGGCGGGGUAACGGCCCACCAAGGCGACGAUCAGUAGGGGUUCUGAGAGGAAGGUCCCCCACAUUGGAACUGAGACACGGUCCAAACUCCUACGGGAGGCAGCAGUGAGGAAUAUUGGUCAAUGGGCGAGAGCCUGAACCAGCCAAGUAGCGUGCAGGACGACGGCCCUAUGGGUUGUAAACUGCUUUUAUAAGGGAAUAAAGUGAGUCUCGUGAGACUUUUUGCAUGUACCUUAUGAAUAAGGACCGGCUAAUUCCGUG